GGCCAUGUGGAGAGAGAUCUUGACUGGGACAUUGCACUGAGGAAGAAUGCCAGUCAUUUGCAGGCCUUUGAAGAUGACACCAGCCUUACCCACAGGGUUACAUCAUUUUUCAAUGUACAUCCAACAAGCUGUGUGGCUGCUUUUCAAGCUGACCUUGAAGACCUCUCUGGUAAAUGCCCAGGUCAGCCAAAAUAUUCAAGGCUUCUAACACUAGCAAAACUGGUUGGGAGGGACACAGGUGAGUAAUCAGAGUUCAAACAUUUGCAACCUUGUUGCAAUCAAGACAUAUGCUCUCUUGUGCAUGCUAUGAGCACUUGUAGCCUGUUUGGUAUCCAACAGGCCUGGCAUGUAUGUGUAUAUAUAUUUCAGAAACACUGUUGGGGAAAACACACUCAAGAGGGCGCAGUGGGGGCAAGACGCUCACGCUGGAAAAAAGGCCUUUCAUUUGUGUCUUCAGAAAGCAACACAUCUCUGCUGAAUUUCCGAAAAGCCUUUGCACACAUCUGGUGUACUUGAGUGUUACCUAUGACAUGUACAAGAAGAAGCUCUAUGAAGGCAAGUGGCAUGGAAGCUCUGAGUACGAAUAUGGACAUGUUUUCUUUCUUUUCUUUCUUACUUUUUUUUUACAGCUUCUGUGUAAGGGUUCAUACAGCAUUGUAAUCAUAGUAAUAGUGUGAUUUAGGUCUAGCAGACAAUAUUUUAGAUAGCAUAUGGGAAUUUAUUUCUCAGUUGCCUGCUGAAAGAUCACAUUUCAUUAUAUUGCAUGCAGCUUACAAUUUCAUAUGCCACAUUGGUAGUGUGCAGAUCACUCAUGCCAUAUAGCGUUGUAGUCCUAACAUACCACUCAGAGUAGUGACCGCAUAACAUGAUGUUAAUUUUUUCCC